GUUUUUGUAGCUUACUGGUCAGAGCACUGGUACGUAAAGACAGAGAUCCCGGGUUCGAUUCCUGACGAGGGUG
rnacentral:tRNA from 1 species